rnacentral:rRNA from 1 species
GUCAGAAUUGAGUAUAGGGGCGAAAGACCAAUCGAACCAUCUAGUAGCUGGUUCCCUCCGAAGUUUCCCUCAGGAUAGCUGGUGCAUUAUAAUAUUAUGUUAAAUAAUCUUAUCUGGUAAAGCGAAUGAUUAGAGGCCUUAGGGUCGAAACGACCUUAACCUAUUCUCAAACUUUAAAUGGGUAAGAACCUCACCUUUCUUGAUAUGAAGGUUGAGGUUAUGAUAUAAUGUGCCCAGUGGGCCACUUUUGGUAAGCAGAAUUGGCGAUGUGGGAUGAACCAAACGUAAUGUUACGGUGCCUAAAUUAACAACUCAUGCAGAUACCAUGAAAGGCGUUGGUUGCUUAAAACAGCAGGACGGUGGACAUGGAAGUCGUAAUCCGCUAAGGAGUGUGUAACAACUCACCUGCCGAAGCAACUAGCCCUUAAAAUGGAUGGCGCUUAAGUUGUAUACCUAUACAUUACCGCUAAAGUAGAUGAUUUAUAAUACAAUUUCGAUUGAAUUAUUAAUUUUGAAACUUUAGUGAGUAGGAGGGUACAAUGGUGUGCUUAGAAGUGUUUGGCGUAAGCCUGCAUGGAGCCGCUAUUGGUACAGAUCUUGGUGGUAGUAGCAAAUAAUCGAAUGAGACCUUGGAGGACUGAAGUGGAGAAGGGUUUCGUGUGAACAGUGGUUGAUCACGAGUUAGUCGGUCCUAAGUUCAAGGCGAAAGCCGAAAAUUUUCAAGUUUUAAUGC